GAGAAAGACAUAUCGGUUAUAUGAGGCUAGCUUGAAACUAGUUUUAGGGGGUUCGACUCCUUCCUUUCUUA
rnacentral:tRNA from 1 species